AACACGCAGAACGGCUCCGGGGUCUGGGCGCGGCCGCGGCACCAGACUGCGGCAGGGGCUGGGCAGGGGGGCCGUGAGGAGAGAAGUAGGGCAGAGGAGGAGGGGCGGCGGCAGCGGGGGCUGGCGCCGGGGGCGAUCCGCAGCCCCGGCGGGGCAGCCCGCGCGGGAGGGGCGGGGGCUCCGUCCAGGCCUGUUGUGGGGCCGAGCGCGGGCGGGAGCGAGGGUGUCUGAGUCAGAGCUGCAUCCUCGGAGGAAUAAACGCCAAAACUCCCUCCUCGGCCGCUCUCACACCCCCAGCCUCCGGCUUCUUCCUCACGACCGUCGAUGCUGUCAGCAUAUGUGUUCUUUAUGAAUCUCUAACAGCAUAUUUUCGGCCUAAACUGCGCGAAAAGCCGGGCAGACCCGCCGGAUCUCACACACUCAGAAGGACUACCUGAGGGAAGGGGAAGAGGGGAGCGAGAAAGGAGCGGGAAUUUUUGCAGACCUGCUCAGGAGGUUUUGACUGAAACUUUCUGUAAAACACUCGAGGCUGAGAAUCUUCCCCGAAGCGUUUAGGACUCAAAGGCAAGUGGGAGAAAGCUUCUUUCCUUAGAGCGAGUGCGACGGCAUUCGCUGAAGGCAUUUCUGUUCUGCAGGGAAUGAGACAAGCAGAGAACGAGCCUCCUUUGCUUGUUAGGGAACGGCGCUCGGGGAAUAGGAAUGGCGUGCUUCCAUCCAGACCAGCGGGCGCUGCCAAUGCCAGGAGCUUACUCAGCCUUUCAGGGCAGACACAGCUCCGGCCAUUCGUAAGCAGCCCGUCUUUCUAACCACCAUAUCUCCUCCCAGCUCUCGCUGUACCCCUACGCCGCCCUGCCUCCCCUGCCCGGCUUCAGCCCCUCCAGCGAUACGGCUGAUGGAGGGAGGGGAGGCGGCGGCUGGGGUUUCGUUCGACGCCCACCAGGGGCUGAGCGAGCCUUCUUCAGUGCGCAAACUCGGGGCACCAGAUAAAAGCUGGGCUGGCAGCUCCUACCUUGCCUCGAUGGAGCCGCCACUUUCGGGUGACUGGAGAAGCAGUUAGCAGCAGCGCCAUAGACUAGCGUCCCCCCCACACCUUGGGCACAGAGAGUUUGGGGCUCUAAACAGCUGCUGCUGCGGCAGGAGGGAGCCGAGGGCGCUUGGCUGGGGCUGCUCGCUCGGGUUCUGCCUGUUGUUGCGCGAAAUGGCGGCUGGCGUCUUGCUACCCUAGGUGAAAGUACAUUAAAGGAAGACUUGCUGAAAUCUGAAGAGCGAGACAGGCUCAGUCACUCAAACUACAGUGGUUCCAGAAUCUGUAAUGUAGACAGGAUAAGGAUUUUUUUUCUGUGCAGUUAAUGCUGUGCUUUUUUUGCUGGUUUCUCAGGAGAAAAGACUCAGCAUGUUGAAUCACAGAGAUGUUACUUCCUGCUGGGUUUUGGGAUUUCCUUGCAGCUCUCCCCUCCAUGGCUGCAGGAACUGUUUUUGCAUAGUGCAUGUUCUAAGGCAGGAACUUGCUGAAGAUGAAGACAGAAGCCAACCAGUUCUGUACUGAAUGUAAUAGUUUCUGACUCAAAUUGUGUGGUAAUUGUCAGAAUAUCAUAGGGUGUUGUAAGAACUGCUGUGUUGAGCAUGACUGAGGAUUUAUUCUUUCAUAAUUUGCCUAAAUGAAUAUAAGAUGCUAAUCUGAAUUAACAUAUGAAAGUGGGGGGGGAAGAUUUCAUUAUAUUUUUCUAGCCACUUGAAACCUGAUUGCAUGCAAAAUAAAUUUCAGUGUGCUGAAGUAGACAUGGGGUUUUUUCCUCACUUGCUCAAUCCUAACUCCCAUUUUUCCUGAUUUCCCACAGAAAGAAAGAACAGCUACUUGCUAUAGCUUCAAAAAUAUUAACAAAAAUACUGUAAGCACUGGAAAUAUGAUAGAGUUUCAAAUUAUUAUCAGUUUCACUGGGGUUAAAAACAUGUAAUCCUGGAAGUGAUGGUAGUAAAUUGAUAUCAAGUAUUUUGACAUACAUACCUGCUUCAUAUAGCUUCCUUUCCUCAUAGAAGAGAAGUAUUCCUAGCAGCUUGUUACAGUGCUGAGUUUCAGUGUCAUGUAUAAGAUUGGCGCGGUUACUAUGAAGACAAACUUUUGGAGAAUUCAUAUGAACUCUACUUCUUCAGCAAUUGCUUUUGAUAAACCAGGUCUUGCAGCUCCAAGAGGCAAACAGGAAAGGGAUGGAGGGAUGGUAGUCAAAUUUUCAGGCAGAUCAACUCUGGUUGGAGUUAAGCUCUCUGAAUGUGGAAUAGUGUCAAACACUCCUUUUUCUUCAGAAUUGGCUUCAGAUGUGCUGUCUUUUUACCCUGCAGUGCUAGAGAAGAGUUCUGGAUGAAGCCAUUUCUCUUUUGUGUUUUAACCUCUGCUGUACAUUGUCCAGUCCUUGUUCAGCAAACGGUUCCAUUUGGUGGACUGUCCUCUGAUGCUGUUUGGAGAAAGGGGAAAGAGUUGAUCUGUAGCCGAGUAUCUAAAAUAUGGGACUUCAGAGGACUGCCUGACAUUGGUAAAUGUAAUGACUUAAAGCAUCUAGAAAAGCCACUUCACAGGAUAAUCCUUCCCAGCACAUUCCAUGAUAAUGUUUCCAGUGCCUUUGAGUUUUUGUCUCUGCGCUUUAAAGAUCCUAGGAUGUGAACUGUCACCUAAAGCACUAUCAGAAGUGCAACUUCUGACAUAAUUUUAAAUAAGUGAAUCUUCCAUCCCUAGAUGUAAUUAUUGCUGGAUUAAAAAAAGGCUAUAUAUUUUAAUUAGGUAUAGUCUGUGUGCCUACUUUGAUGUAAAAAAUGCUUGAAAAAAUAAUGAAAAUUUUUCUUAAUGGUGGAUGACAGAUAUGUAAACUACUGUUAGACUCUGUGUGUGUGUGUGUGUGUGUGUGACUGUUUGUUAAGGGAAAAGCGUGUUUUCAGAGUGUGGUUUUUGGACUUCCAGACAGAUUACACAAACUCAAGGAGGCCCAGCCCACAUCCUGUGUAGAAGACCAGCUCACAGAAAUGCUUAUUGUUCUUCAGGGUUAUAAGUCACUGCAUUUUGUGCCUCCCUUCUAUUUCAAAAUAUUGUAUGGAAAAUACUAAUGCAAAGGAACCACAGCAGCUUAACAAGUGCUUGGUCCUGCCAGGUACAGAGCACUGUGCUCUUACCAGAAGGCUAGGGGACUGGGAUUAAAACAUUAGGCUCCCUGGCUAGAGAACAAAGAGUUUGUGUUGGUAAAAGUAGCUGAGUGUUUAUCAGGUGAGUAAAUCAACUGAUAAUUGACAUAAUUUCAACCUGAAAGUUGUGUGCAGCUGUGCCAGUAUUUACUAUCCUGGAGUGGGAGUUACAGGAUAUGAAGUUUUUUUCAAGCAGGGUGAGUUCUCCAUGACACUUGAUUCACCUCUCCUCAUCCUUCACUGCAGAAAGAGAGGAUGUGGGGUGUCCAGAUCUGAUACCCCACCAGAAAGUGGUUAGUGUUUCUGAAUCUCUACCCAUGCUUAUUGCUGGGUUGUGUUUUUCAACCUGCAGGCUAUCCAUGAAGGGAGCCAUCAAGUCAAAAACACUAAAACCUGUUCACUCUUCCCUUUUUUAAAUGUACAUUGUCAUCUUGGAGGUUAUUUUUUAAAGAGCUGAGGUGCUUUCAUUUUUAACUUUUAAACAGGAAUAGUGUUCCAAUGUUACUUUUAAGCCACUUGUAUUAUGUUUUUCUUCAAAAAAGCAACGGCUUAUAUUUUUUGCUAAAGUUCAGUACCCAUUUAAGACUAAAAUAUUUGUUAUGAUAAUCUGGCUAUAGCUAAGCAGAAGGCUGCCAUGAGAGUGUUUGAGAUUGUGCCCUGCUUUUCUACAGUCCUCUGAAAGGAAUCACUUCCCUUUAGUCUCUUCCAGUCUCCUGACUGUGCAGCAUUCCCAAACCACGUGGGCCAUAAAAUGGGAUUAUAGGGGAGGCAUUCAAGUAAACAGAAGUUCCCUCGGGAUCAGAUUUGCUUUUUCAUACAGAGCUCCUGUGUGCUGUAGCCUGGCACUGGAGUGAAUUCUCUUGGUGACCCCAAGGGUGGGAGAGCACCAGGCCAUCCUCAUGUUUUGGGGAUAGUUUCUCCUGGCUUGCACAAUAAAGUCUCCCUUUGCAGUGUUUUUGGAAGGACACACCCAAGUUCAAGUUUCUUGCUGUGUCUCUUCAGUGUCUUUCUGUAACAAUAAAUGACCAGUCUCAUGAUGCAGCUAUAGCUGCCAGAAAUCUGCAGUGAACAUACAGCUGUAGCAGUCAUUAAUUGCACAGUAUUGCUGGAGUGCUCCAAUGCUUUUGUGAGUUGUGUUCAAAGGUAAGUAGCUGCUUGAAGAGAAAAACCUUUGUGCUUCUGUAGAAGCACACAGUUACAUUGGUGGAUAAUACUGUUUUUCUGUGAUUGCAUGGUCCUGUUCAGCCUGUUCUGUUGAAAGUAUACAACCUGGGCAGGCUCAGUCUGCAGUUUGAGUGCUUAUGAGUUCUUUGUUGAGACUAAAUUGUGUUGGUCUCAGCAGGGAACAUUUCCAGACCAUCCAUCCUGGCCUAAGUAACUCAGGCUGUUAUUGUUGUUCCACAGGAUGAUGCUGUGUGGGAUAUCAGGGCACAAAGCCUUCAGACUUGUGUUAAUUUUGCUGUAGCUGUGUUUCAUAUUUUGAAAGAACUUGCCACAAAUGGAUGUUGUCCUUCUAUCUCUCCAGUGGCUGCUUGUCACCAGAAGAAUGAUUUAGUCAGUAGUGUUCCUCUUAUCAUAGACUCAUAGAAUGGUCGGGAUUGAAAGGGAUCUUAAAGAUAUCUAAUUCUACCCCCUGCCAUGGACCUUUCCCUAGACCACAUUACUCAGGGCCCCAUUACUCAGUGUGCCCUGGCCCACUUCCAGAGGUGGGACAUCCGCAGCUUCUCUGGACAAUCUGUUCAAGUAUUUCACCACUCUCACACUAAAGUAUUUCUUCCUGAUACCUAAUAUACACUUGCCCUCUUUCAGAUUGAAGCCAUUCCCCAAGUCCUAUCACUACAUGCCCUUGUACAAAGUCCCUCUCUGUUUUUUCUGUAGGGUGCCUUUGUAUACUGGACGACUCGUUGCCAGUAGCAAGGCUUCAGAUGCUGGUGCCCUUGGCUUCCUAGAGGUGCUGCUCUGUACCACAGCAUGGCUGCUUUUGUUUGGGGAGAAAGCUGCAAUUGUAAAUACUGUCCUUAAAACAUCAGGAAUUCAUAUAUUC